rnacentral:tRNA from 1 species
GGAGAGGUGGCAGAGUGGUUGAAUGCACCGGUCUUGAAAACCGGAAUGCUCGAAAGGGCAUCGAGGGUUCGAAUCCCUCCCUCUCCGCCA